CUCCUAAGGCUAAAUACUCUCUAGUGACCGAUAGUGAACCAGUACCGUGAGGGAAAGGUGAAAAGCACCCCGGAAGGGGAGUGAAAUAGAACCUGAAACCGUGUGCUUACAAGUAGUCAGAGCCCGUUAAUGGGUGAUGGCGUGCCUUUUGUAGAAUGAACCGGCGAGUUACGAUUUGAUGCAAGGUUAAGCAGUAAAUGUGGAGCCGUAGCGAAAGCGAGUCUGAAUAGGGCGUUUAGUAUUUGGUCGUAGACCCGAAACCAGGUGAUCUACCCUUGGUCAGGUUGAAGUUCAGGUAACACUGAAUGGAGGACCGAACCGACUUACGUUGAAAAGUGAGCGGAUGAACUGAGGGUAGCGGAGAAAUUCCAAUCGAACCUGGAGAUAGCUGGUUCUCUCCGAAAUAGCUUUAGGGCUAGCCUCAAGUGAUGAUUAUUGGAGGUAGAGCACUGUUUGGACGAGGGGCCCCUCUCGGGUUACCGAAUUCAGACAAACUCCGAAUGCCAAUUAAUUUAACUUGGGAGUCAGAACAUGGGUGAUAAGGUCCGUGUUCGAAAGGGAAACAGCCCAGACCACCAGCUAAGGUCCCAAAAUAUAUGUUAAGUGGAAAAGGAUGUGGCGUUGCCCAGACAACUAGGAUGUUGGCUUAGAAGCAGCCAUCAUUUAAAGAGUGCGUAAUAGCUCACUAGUCGAGUGACACUGCGCCGAAAAUGUACCGGGGCUAAACAUAUUACCGAAGCUGUGGAUUGUCCUUUGGACAAUGGUAGGAGAGCGUUCUAAGGGCGUUGAAGCAUGAUCGUAAGGACAUGUGGAGCGCUUAGAAGUGAGAAUGCCGGUGUGAGUAGCGAAAGACGGGUGAGAAUCCCGUCCACCGAUUGACUAAGGUUUCCAGAGGAAGGCUCGUCCGCUCUGGGUUAGUCGGGUCCUAAGCUGAGGCCGACAGGCGUAGGCGAUGGAUAACAGGUUGAUAUUCCUGUACCACCUAUAAUCGUUUUAAUCGAUGGGGGGACGCAGUAGGAUAGGCGAAGCGUGCGAUUGGAUUGCACGUCUAAGCAGUAAGGCUGAGUAUUAGGCAAAUCCGGUACUCGUUAAGGCUGAGCUGUGAUGGGGAGAAGACAUUGUGUCUUCGAGUCGUUGAUUUCACACUGCCGAGAAAAGCCUCUAGAUAGAAAAUAGGUGCCCGUACCGCAAACCGACACAGGUAGUCAAGAUGAGAAUUCUAAGGUGAGCGAGCGAACUCUCGUUAAGGAACUCGGCAAAAUGACCCCGUAACUUCGGGAGAAGGGGUGCUCUUUAGGGUUAACGCCCAGAAGAGCCGCAGUGAAUAGGCCCAAGCGACUGUUUAUCAAAAACACAGGUCUCUGCUAAACCGUAAGGUGAUGUAUAGGGGCUGACGCCUGCCCGGUGCUGGAAGGUUAAGAGGAGUGGUUAGCUUCUGCGAAGCUACGAAUCGAAGCCCCAGUAAACGGCGGCCGUAACUAUAACGGUCCUAAGGUAGCGAAAUUCCUUGUCGGGUAAGUUCCGACCCGCACGAAAGGCGUAACGAUUUGGGCACUGUCUCAACGAGAGACUCGGUGAAAUCAUAGUACCUGUGAAGAUGCAGGUUACCCGCGACAGGACGGAAAGACCCCGUGGAGCUUUACUGUAGCCUGAUAUUGAAAUUCGGCACAGCUUGUACAGGAUAGGUAGGAGCCUUUGAAACGUGAGCGCUAGCUUACGUGGAGGCGCUGGUGGGAUACUACCCUAGCUGUGUUGGCUUUCUAACCCGCACCACUUAUCGUGGUGGGAGACAGUGUCAGGCGGGCAGUUUGACUGGGGCGGUCGCCUCCUAAAAGGUAACGGAGGCGCUCAAAGGUUCCCUCAGAAUGGUUGGAAAUCAUUCAUAGAGUGUAAAGGCAUAAGGGAGCUUGACUGCGAGACCUACAAGUCGAGCAGGGUCG
rnacentral:rRNA from 1 species